rnacentral:ncRNA from 1 species
CAGAGUUGGCAAUAAUACCUUUUGGGGCGCCAGUGUAUUCCCCGAACAGGUGUUUGGGUCACAACUCUGGAAUACCGCUUCAAAAGACGCCACUCUA